UACGUAGGUGGCUAGCGUUGUCCGGAUUUACUGGGCGUAAAGAGCGCGCAGGCGGUCGUUCAAGUCGAGUGUGAAAGCCCCCGGCUCAACUGGGGAGGGUCACUCGAUACUGAUCGACUUGAAGGCGGGAGAGGGAAGCGGAAUUCCCGGUGUAGUGGUGAAAUGCGUAGAUAUCUGGAGGAACACCGGUGGCGAAGGCGGCAUCCUGGACCGACACUGACACUGAGGAGCGAAAGCCAGGGGAGCAAACGGG
rnacentral:rRNA from 1 species